GAUGAACGCUGGCGGCGUGCCUAAUACAUGCAAGUCGAGCGAAUGGAUUAAGAGCUUGCUCUUAUGAAGUUAGCGGCGGACGGGUGAGUAACACGUGGGUAACCUGCCCAUAAGACUGGGAUAACUCCGGGAAACCGGGGCUAAUACCGGAUAACAUUUUGAACCGCAUGGUUCGAAAUUGAAAGGCGGCUUCGGCUGUCACUUAUGGAUGGACCCGCGCCGCAUUAGCUAGUUGGUGAGGUAACGGCUCACCAAGGCAACGAUGCGUAGCCGACCUGAUAGGGUGAUCGGCCACACUGGGACUGACACACGGCCCAGACUCCUACGGGAGGCAGCAGUAGGGAAUCUUCCGCAAUGGACGAAAGUCUGACGGAGCAACGCCGCGUGAGUGAUGAAGGCUUUCGGGUCGUAAAACUCUGUUGUUAGGGAAGAACAAGUGCUAGUUGAAUAAGCUGGCACCUUGACGGUACCUAACCAGAAAGCCACGGCUAACUACGUGCCAGCCGCCGCCGUAA
rnacentral:rRNA from 1 species